ACGAACGCUGGCGGCGUGCUUAACACAUGCAAGUCGAACGGAAAGGCCCUGCUUGCCGGGUACUCGAGUGGCGAACGGGUGAGUAACACGUGGGUGAUCUGCCCUGCACUUCGGGAUAAGCCUGGGAAACUGGGUCUAAUACCGGAUAUGACCUUCCAUGUAGUGUGGGGGGUGGAAAGAUUUAUCGGUGUGGGAUGAGCCCGCGGCCUAUCAGCUUGUUGGUGGGGUAAUGGCCUACCAAGGCGUCGACGGGUAGCCGGCCUGAGAGGGUGGACGGCCACAUUGGGACUGAGAUACGGCCCAGACUCCUACGGGAGGCAGCAGUGGGGAAUAUUGCACAAUGGGCGGAAGCCUUAUGCAGCGACGCCGCGUGGGGGAUGACGGCCUUCGGGUUGUAAACCUCUUUCGACAGGGACGAAGCUUCGGUGACGGUACCUGUAUAAGAAGCACCGGCUAACUACGUG
rnacentral:rRNA from 1 species